CCUACGGGAGGCAGCAGUGGGGAAUAUUGGACAAUGGGCGAAAGCCUGAUCCAGCCAUGCCGCGUGUGUGAAGAAGGCCUUCGGGUUGUAAAGCACUUUCAGUGGGGAAGAAAGCCUUGGGGCUAAUACCCUCGAGGAAGGACAUCACCCACAGAAGAAGCACCGGCUAACUCCGUGCCAGCAGCCGCGGUAAUACGGAGGGUGCGAGCGUUAAUCGGAAUUACUGGGCGUAAAGCGCGCGUAGGCGGUCUGAUAAGCCGGUUGUGAAAGCCCCGGGCUCAACCUGGGAACGGCAUCCGGAACUGUCAGGCUAGAGGGCAGGAGAGGAAGGUAGAAUUCCCGGUGUAGCGGUGAAAUGCGUAGAGAUCGGGAGGAAUACCAGUGGCGAAGGCGGCCUUCUGGACUGACACUGACGCUGAGGUGCGAAAGCGCGGGUAGCAAACAGGAUUAGAUACCCCAGUAGUC
rnacentral:rRNA from 1 species